rnacentral:rRNA from 1 species
GACGAACGCUGGCGGCGUGCUUAACACAUGCAAGUCGAACGGAAAGGCCCUGCUUUUGUGGGGUGCUCGAGUGGCGAACGGGUGAGUAACACGUGAGUAACCUGCCCUUGACUUUGGGAUAACAUCAGGAAACUGGGGCUAAUACCGGAUAGGAGCUCCUGCUGCAUGGUGGUGGAUGGUAAGUUUCGGCGGUUGGGGAUUGACUCGCGGCUUAUCAGCUUGUUGGUGGGGUAGUGGCUUACCAAGGCUUUGACGGGUAGCCGGCCUGAGAGGGUGACCGGCCACAAUGGGACUGAGAGACGGCCCAGACUCCUACGGGAGGCAGCAGUGGGGAAUAUUGCACAAUGGGCGGAAGCCUGAUGCAGCAACGCCGCGUGCGGGAUGACGGCCUUCGGGUUGUAAACCGCUUUCUCCUGUGACGAAGCGUGAGUGACGGUAAUGGGUAAAGAAGCACCGGCUAACUACGUG